CCUUUGGAAAGAUACCUAGCAGAGGGAUGGCUGGGUCAAAUGGAACCUCCAGUCCAAGCUCUCAAAGAGCAAUUUUUAAUAAACGCAAGUUUAUGAGCUAUGACAAAUUUCCAAGAAAAUCUGAGAAUAUGCAAUUGUAUUUGAAAUCUGCUAAUUUAAACAUUAGCACACUAACCAGUGCAAAAGGACAGGUAGAGACUGCAAGGACUACCAGUUUAUGAUUCCCUGUUUGUGAUAGGAACUUUGCUGGGGUUUUUGUUGUUGUUGUUGAUAAAGACAAAGUGUCUUUAGCCCUGUGACAGUGCAAACUGCAUGCUACAUAUAAUGCAACCGAGUCAAGGCCAAAUCAGAGCCUAGAAUCCAGGUCUUUUGAUUCCUUGUUUAAUAAAUUUUCUCAUUGCUGUGGUUCUGCUAACCUGUUAAGUCUUUAGAAUCUUCAGCUUCUAUGUGUUCUGAGAAAAAGCAAGGGAUGAUAUGGUACCAAGUUCCAAAGAGAGCUAAAAAAUGAGUGAACACACACGAGCAGAACAGAGGGAAUAAUUCCAUUCUAUUGGAGACCAUGCUUACAAAAAGCAAAUAAACAUGGGUUUGAAUGUCCAUCUAAACGAAUCAACAGCCUGGGAACAGAGGAGGUGAGAUAAAGGAUUGGUGUUGGAAGGCAGACACCAUGAGAAUGUCUUAACAGAUCAGAUAUGAGCAGCACUUGUUAUAAGAUUUGGAGAGCAAAGUUUUGUUAAUAAGCAUUUCCUUGUCUGUCAGAAGACUGAUACUAAGGUUGAAGGCAGAAACCGUCUGACUGGGUGAAGGUUGUAUCUAGAUGAAGAGCACAGCAGCAGUACCAGUAAGCCAACAAGAACAAUGCUGAGGACCUACUGUGUGCCAGGCUGGACUAUAGAGGACCCGAAUGACCAAAGAGCCACUCACGUCGACCUCACGGCUCCAGAUCAAGGCAUAGGAGAGACGUGUUUUACCCUCAAGGAAUCAUUGUUCAGUGUUUUGGGCAGUAUGUGUUAGUAGAAAGAAAAAGCCUCAGUCUUCAUGGAGUUUAUGUCAUAAUGUGAGAGAUUAAACAAAAUAGGUCAGACAUACGUGGAAGUAAAAGGUGAGGCUGAAACCAAAAAUACCAUCUCAUACCUUUGAGGGCUCGGUUCUCCCGUUCCAGCCAACUAGCCACAGUUUCCUUUGGAAUAGAUAUGAUUUAGGGAUGUGGUACUACGGAAUAGAAAACCCACGAGACUUGCUUCUGAUUCUUGGUAGAUUACUGAAAUUGUAAAAGAUGUGACAAAUCUCUCUGGAUUUUAAAAACUAAGCAGUAAAGAAAGUAGAAGAACGAAACGAAGACUGUGCCCGGUCUCCCACUGCUGCUUUUGAUGACUCUCAUCGUCCAGAUACCUUUCUGCAGCAAAGUUAUGAUAUCAUCUUGUAGUCCAGGCUGACCAAGGCAGAAAAGAAAGGGUCUCUGCAGUUGUGGAAUCUAAAGUUCUGUCUUUUCAACAAUUUAAGAGAAUAAUAGUCCUCAAAAGACAUUCUUCUGUCUCCCUGUACUCUCCAGGAGAUAAACAGGCACUGAAAAGUAUUUUAUAUUGUUUAAAAAAAGGAAGAGGUUUAAUUUUUUGGUCUUUAAGUAGCUUAUGCUGUAUAUCAACAAAUACCCCCAAAGCUAGUAAAUGUUAAGUGGCUGGCCACGUGCUUAAAAAAGGAAAAACGGGAGACAAACGUCAUUGAACAUUUUGAUAAAUUAUACUGACACAUUUGUAAGAGAAAAUUUUAUGACCUGUAAGGAAGACAAAAAUUUUUAAGUUGUCCUGAAAAAUAACAACUGGGGAGGAAUAAAAAAGUGAGGUGGAACCUGGGAUCUAGGAAGAAUCUGAUAGGAAUAUUGGAGCCUAUACACUGAAGAGACACAGAGCACCGUGGGGGAAAGAGGAAGCGGUAACCUGCACUUUCUGCCUGGCUGCUGAGAAAUGAAGAUGGAAUCUGCAGAGACAGUGAACCCAGGGCACUGUGGAGGCCUUUAGGGAAAUGCACCGGUAGAACAGAGCGGUGGAUGCUGUCUUCUGCAACAGCUGGAGGUCACAGCUAAGAGUAUAUAACUGGAUUCUCAAGAGAGUAUCAUGGACUUGGACCUUUGAGAAAUGCUGGAAUUGUUACAAUUUUGAGAACCCUUAGAGAUGAACUAAAUGCACUUUGCAUUCUGAAAUGGACAGAAGUCUCUGGGUUGGAAUGUUAUGAUUUAAAGAUGAAGUGUUCUCUAAGACUCAUAUAUUAUUGAUCCCCAGUACAACAGUAUUCAAAAGUGGGUCCAAGAGAGGUGAAUGGAUCACAAGGGUGCUUGAUCCAUUAAUUAGUUCAUUAGCUGGAUGGGUUGGUGGGAGGUAGGGCCUCACUGGGGGAAGUAGGUCACUGAGAGUGUGUUUCUGAAAGCUCUUCAAAGAGCUCUUCUGUGGCUCUCUGCCUCUUCUCUUUGUUUCCUGGCCCUUGUGGUGAACACUUUUCUCACCAGGCCCUUCAGGAAUGAUAUUUAUGUCUUAAAGUCAGCUAACCAUGGACUAUUAUACCUUUGAAAUCAUGACUCAAAAUAAGCCUUUUCUCCCUUAUAUAGUAUGUGUUAGACAUUUUGUCCCUACAAUAGGAAGAUGACUAAUGCAUAUAUCAAAACCAUAUCAAUCAAAGCUGACAAAACCAAGUACUUGUAUAUUACACAUUUGAGCUCACCUAUAACCCAAACCAAAGCAUCUACCCAACUGACACAUUAUGUACCAUCUAAUCAAAAGAAAGAAAAAAAUAAUAAAAGAAAAAUCCUUUUCUAAAACCUGCAUAAAAUUGGAAGUGGUGGCUAAAUUAGAUAGAAGUGACUGUUCUAUCCGAUGUUCCAGCAUCAUUGUAGUCACACAGGAACAUGACACUUGUGAAGGAAAACAGAAAAUUUCUGCUUUGAAGAAAGUCUAUGAUAUUCCUGAAAAAGAAUUCAAAAUAAUCAUCUCGUGUAAACUAAGUGAGAUGUAAAGGAACACAGAUAAUACUGAGAAAAUCAGGGUAGGAUAUGAAUAAAAAAUCAUACAGGCAAGUGAAAAUCAAUCAUAAAUCCUGGAGGUAAAAUCUUCAAUCAGUAAAUUAAACAUAGAAUGGAAAGCCUCCACAACAGACUAAAACAUGUAAAAGAAAUAAUGCCUGAACUUUGGAAUUAACACAGUUGGAAACAAAAAUAAACCAGGUAUUGUGGAACAUACACAUAAUCCUACAAUUUUGGGAAGCUUGAGGAUCAUAAAUUUAAGCCCAGCUUGGGAAACUUAGUGAGAACCUGUCUUGGAAAAAAAAAAAAAAAAAAGGAAUCCCAUAAGACUUAUUGGAUACCGAAUGAGAAAUUAGAUUCAUUCAUAGGAAAACGGAUACAUAUUGAGGAUAUACUCCUAAGUGAAA